CUACGGGGGGCUCCAGUGGGGAAUAUUGGACAAUGGAGGAAACUCUGAUGCAGCAACGCCGCGUGGAGGAUGACACUUUUCGGAGCGUAAACUCCUUUUAUAUAGGAAGAAGAUGACGGUACUAUAUGAAUAAGCGCCGGCUAACUCCGUGCCAGCAGCCGCGGUAAUACGGAGGGCGCAAGCGUUACUCGGAAUCACUGGGCGUAAAGAGCGUGUAGGCGGAUUAAAAAGUCAGAAGUGAAAUCCUAUAGCUUAACUAUAGAACUGCUUCUGAAACUCUUAAUCUAGAAUAUGGGAGAGGUAGAUGGAAUUUCUGGUGUAGGGGUAAAAUCCGUAGAGAUCAGAAGGAAUACCGAUUGCGAAGGCGAUCUACUAGAACAUUAUUGACGCUGUGACGCGAAAGCGUGGGGAGCAAACAGGAUUAGAUACCCGCGUAGUC
rnacentral:rRNA from 1 species